AAGAAAGUCAACAUGGCUAUUUUUGGGGGGGAAAAAAAAAGACUCAAUUUGUUGUGUAUAUUGUCUGCAGUGGGAUCUUUUUCAAGUGAUUUUGAUUCACUUUCAUAAAGAAUAAUCACAGGUAUCUAAAAAUGGGAUGUGCUCAUUUCUGUUAAACAGAAUUACAAAGCCUGUCACCAAGAGCUCAAGAGAUUGGAUACUCCGGGAUAAACUGUAAGGUCACUUCUAAAUCAGUGAUCCUGUGAUUUUUCCUCCUUGCCACCGGAAAGGCCAAAGCUGUAGUCUUAAUAAUAAUAUGCGCAAUCUUCACCCCAUCUUUUCUCUAAGUAUGUGGGCAUGGGAAAGAAAAGCUAUGGACGCCUCUAGGGAUGCAGGUAAAGGUAUCAACAGCAGGAUGAACUACAGGAGUUCAGACAGCCUUUCAGGUUUGGGUGAUGAGGGAGGACUACAGGUAAGAAUGACACGGGGCAAAGAUGGAAAAGGAAAGAUGAUACAGUUGGAUGGGGAAGAGGAGAGCCAAAAGGUGGUGUGAGUGCGUUUAACAGUGUAGUAGGUUACUUCCAACCCAUGUGAAAAAGUUUAGCUGUGAUGCUCACAUAACUAAAUCUUAUGAAACUAAUUUCAGUAAAUGAGGUGUGAUUUUUAAAAAGAUUCCUUUUAAGAAGUGUAUUUCCUACAUGAAUUCAGAUUGUACUAAUAGAAUAUUCUAGAAUAUCAAUAUUCUAUAUGAAUAAUAUUCAUAUACAAAGUUAGCUAAAGUUCAUCUUUAUACUACACACACACACACACACAAACACACACACAGAGUGGGUCAGUCCAAUGAUGUAAAGUAGAAAGUGCAUAUGGUUUGCAGACAGACUUAGAUUCAAACUCUGAAUCUGCCUUCCUGCUGGGUGAUGUUGAGAAAAAGUACUUAAGUAUAA
rnacentral:lncRNA from 10 species